UACGUAGGGAGCAAGCGUUGUUCGGAUUUACUGGGCGUAAAGGGCGCGUAGGCGGCAAUUCAAGUCAUCUGUGAAAUCUCCGGGCUUAACUCGGAACGGUCAGAUGAUACUGCUUUGCUAGAGUGCAGAAGGGGCAAUCGGAAUUCUCGGUGUAGCGGUGAAAUGCGUAGAUAUCGAGAGGAACACCAGAGGUGAAGACGGGUUGCUGGGCUGACACUGACGCUGACAGCGCGAAAGCCAGGGGAGCAAACGGG
rnacentral:rRNA from 1 species